CAGAUCCUCCUGCCCAUGACAAGAGAAGGGCAUUGGAGAGGGCGCCCCUAACGAGGCCUUGGAGAGACCAGAACUGACGACACUUCCUGUUCUGUCUGGUGGAGAACAGGUCCACUCAGGGAGCCCCCUACUUCUGGAAGAGUGGAGCGACCACUUGUGGUGAGAGAAAAAGGACCUGCUGAGGCGAUUCGCCAGCAUGUUCCAGAUGCCGGGGAGAUGCAAAGCUUCCAGGUGGAUCGCAUGGUGGAUGCAAAAGUCCCACAGGUGGAGUGCUUCCUCAGAAAGCUGACUAGCGUGGUCUCCUUUGCCUGUUGACAUAGAACAUUGAGGCUGUAUUGUCCGUCAACACCUGCACUACUCAACCGGACAACUGUGGCCGGAAGAGACUGCAGGAUAGGCGGAUGGCUGAGCGUUAUACGUAAUGCCAGCUCCUCUGGAGACCAUGUCCCCUGAGUCCCCAGCACACCAAGAUGUGCUCCCCAACCGAGGUCGGAGGCAUCCAAUAUCAGGGAGACCGUGAGCCAUGGUCUCCUUCCAGCACCAACCUUGGGUCAGUCCACCACUGCAGAGAGGCCCAGGGCUUGGCACAUGACUUGCAGCUCGGUGACACUGCACCCUGGGUCCUGGAGCAGUCCUUGACAAGCCAGUCAUUCAGGUAAAGAGAACAAUGCCAGGCCAUCGAACAGAAGGUCCUGGAUGGACUGCUAAACCUCCAUUGAAAGGCCCAAUGACUGUAACCAGGACACCCAUGUCAUGGAGAGGGCCAUGGUUCGGGCCUCAGAGUCUGCCGCAUCUGAGGCUGCUUGGAGGGCUGCCCUUGCCACUGCUUUGCCCUCUUCAAGAAUAGCCAGGAAUUCCUUCCUGGAUUCUUCUGGCAGCAAGUCUGAGAACUUGGCCAUGGAAUGUGAGAUGUUCAAAUCAUAGUGACCAAGUAACACCUGCUGGUUGGCCACUCAUAGUUGGAGGCUGGAAGUUGAAUAAACUUUUCUUCCAAAGAGA